rnacentral:rRNA from 1 species
UACGUAGGGUGCGAGCGUUAAUCGGAAUUACUGGGCGUAAAGUGUGCGCAGGCGGCUUCGCAAGUCGAGUGUGAAAUCCCCGAGCUUAACUUGGGAAUUGCGCUCGAAACUACGGAGCUGGAGUGUGGCAGAGGAGGGUGGAAUUCCACGUGUAGCGGUGAAAUGCGUAGAGAUGUGGAGGAACACCGAUGGCGAAGGCAGCUCUGGCGACACUGACGCUCAUGCACGAAAGCGUGGGGAGCAAACAGG